UCCCUGGUGGUCUAGAGGCUAAGACUCCAUGCCCCCAAUGCAGGAGACCUGGGUUCAAUCCCUUGUUGGGGAA
rfam:Ovis aries breed Texel chromosome 13, whole genome shotgun sequence.